AUUGUACCAUGCGUUGCUUCGGCGGGACCGUCUUCACGACCGCCGGAGGGCCGUAAAACGUCCUCUGGCCCGCGCCCGCCGAUGGCCCCCCAUUAAAAAAUUCUGAAUAAUCAUGCCUAUAUUGUCUGAGUAAUACAUAAAAAUUAAAAGCAAAAACUUUCAACAACGGAUCUCUUGGUUCUGGCAUCGAUGAAGAACGCAGCGAAAUGCGAUAAGUAAUGCGAAUUGCAGAAUUCCAGUGAGUCAUCGAAUCUUUGAACGCACAUUGCGCCCUUUGGUAUUCCGAAGGGCAUGCCUGUUCGAGCGUCAUUUUCACCCCUCAAGCCCCCGGGCUUGGUUUUGGACGGCUUGGUUGAGGCAUCGCCUCGACCCCUCCUAAAGAUAAUGACGGCGGCCUCGUUGGACCCCCGGUACACUGAGCUUCUUAACUGAGCACGUAUCGGAUCUAGGGUUUGCGGGACACGGUCUUUAACCCCCCUUUUUUUCUAAGGUUGACCUCGGAUCAGGUAGGAAUACCCGCUGAACUUAAGCAUAUCAAUAAGCGGAGGAAAAGAAACCAACAGGGAUUGCCUCAGUAACGGCGAGUGAAGCGGCAACAGCUCAAAUUUGAAAUCUGGCCUCUUUGGGGUCCGAGUUGUAAUUUGUAGAGGAUGUUUCGGGUACCGCCUCGGUCUAAAUUUCUUGGAACAGAAUGUCAGAGAGGGUGAGAAUCCCGUCUUGGACCGGCGGUAGGGCCCAUGUGAAACUCCUUCGACGAGUCGAGUUGUUUGGGAAUGCAGCUCAAAAUGGGUGGUAUAUUUCAUCUAAAGCUAAAUAUUGGCCAGAGACCGAUAGCGCACAAGUAGAGUGAUCGAAAGAUGAAAAGAACUUUGAAAAGAGAGUUAAACAGUAUGUGAAAUUGUUGAAAGGGAAGCGCUUGCAACCAGACUUGAGCGCGGCGGUUCCCCCUUCCUUUUGGUUGGGUUACUCCGUCGUGUCCAGGCCAACAUCGGUUCUGGGGGUCGGUUAAAGGCUUGGGGAAUGUACCUACGUCUUCGGGCGUAGACUUAUAGCCCCGGGU
rnacentral:rRNA from 1 species